UUAUUGAAGAAUGACCAUAUGACACAAGAGAGAAGUACUCUGCUCCAGUAGGAGUCCAACAACUCUCUGAUGAGAGAAAGUUACAGUGGAUCGUGUUUUUGGAGAAGGUGAAGUCCAGUCUAAAAGAGUCCCCUCAAGUAUCAUCACCAUGGUACAGUGUCUGUGAAGAUAGUGAAGCAGACCCAGCAUUCACAAAAAAAAGAGAGGUCCCAUAAGGAGAAGACCCUGGAGCAAACAGGAAGUACAUGCUGUGGUGAAAGCUGAACCAUUAGUUCUAAAAACCAGAGAUUGGUCAGAUUUGGAUUUUUAUAUUAAAAACUGAAUCUUGUCUCUUUAAAGAGAAAUCUGGGUAACACUUUUAUAGUAACUACACACUAUAAAUCAUUUGUUUAGCACUAACUCUACAUUAAUAGACUUUGGUAAGCAGUUUAUAAAUACAGCUACAAAGGCUGUGUUCUUGACUUGACUUAAUUGUAUUUUCAUGCUUUGUUACUGAUUUAUUUUUCAUUACUAAAUUAAGUAUUGCAUUAUUUACAAAC